CACGUAGGGUGCGAGCGUUGUCCGGAUUUACUGGGCGUAAAGGGCGCGUAGGCGGUCGUGACAAGUCACUUGUGAAAUCUCCGGGCUUAACUCGGAACGGUCAAGUGAUACUGUCGGACUAGAGUACAGAAGGGGCAACUGGAAUUCUCGGUGUAGCGGUGAAAUGCGUAGAUAUCGAGAGGAACACCUGCGGCGAAGGCGGGUUGCUGGGCUGAUACUGACGCUGAGGCGCGAAAGCCAGGGGAGCGAACGGG
rnacentral:rRNA from 1 species